rnacentral:misc_RNA from 1 species
CUUGAUUUUAAUUCCCUCUAACCCACUUUGAUCUAAGCGCAACCGAACAUGUCCUUAGGUCUUAGCACUGGUUCGAUUAGAUAUGGAUUGAGGGGAUUAAAUCUCUUCUUAGUUAAAAUUAGUUAAAAUAGGAAGAGAUUUAAUUUCCUCGACCCCUUCAAUCCCUGUGCUAUAUGCCUAUAUUAGUUGGUGCGACGUUCUCUGAUGGAGAGCCCUUGCUGCAGCAGAAGGACAGCAGCACCUUCGCAAGGCUGAACGCAGACGCAGGCGGCUCUCCCUGUUGGGUGACAACGUGGUAUGGCCGUAUGGGCAGCUCCUUGUGGCCGCAUUAGGGACUCCAGGUGAAGAGUACGAGAACCGCAUGGUCGAGGCUGCCGGCUGCCCCCAUCCGUCGUACUCUCCAGUUUUGCUACGUCGCGGCAACCCACGUAGGCUGCCCCGGCUGCGGUAGCAGAUGCAUGCAUGCCUGCUUGCAUUGCGGUGGCCAGGUACAUUGGAACUGUUGCGGGCACGGCGUUGCCGUCCCGACGACGGAUGUGGCAGCCGCUUGGGAACGGCACCUCUGUUGCGGAGUUCAGUGUCGUGCCUGUCGCCUGACUGAAAAGCGGAUGGAAUGAAGCGACGGUGUGCCGAUGCUUCGCUCCAAGGCCUUCUCUUUGUCCCGUGGAUGGUAUUCCUAGCGCAAACUUACUUCAGUCGCUGAUAAUCCAGGUCUGCAGAUGUAAUCUGAUUACAAGAAUUCUUCGUCGACCCUUGGGCCUUGGUUCACGUAAUUUGUUUUCUGAAAUCCGACCAUACGAAAUGACAGUCCUUAUAUUUAUUCAUUCACUCUAGCAUAUCUAACAUGUACGUACAUUACAGACAUACAAGGCACGUGCUGCUCGUUGUACAAGACUAGUAGUUCACUUACACGUACACGCACGUACUCAAUACAGGGAAAACAGGGGGAAAAGAAUUCCUAGGACCUAGACUACAACAUCUGUUUCUCAAGAUGGCCUCGGAGGUUUCGCCUUGGCAUGGGACCCGACAGCCCGCGACACGGCCUCGGCGAGCCGCCCCAUCCGUGCGGCCACGUCCGGCGGCAGCGCCGCCACCGCCCGCCGCGGCUUCCUCGGCCCCAGCAGCGCCCCCAGCAUCUCCACCACUUCCUCCGCGCCCCACCCUCCACUCUUCAGGUCCCGGCAGCACCGGUCGACAGUCAACGCCAACGCCACCACAUUCACCUCGCCGGCGCCGCUGGGACCCUCUCCCGUCACCAUCUCCUCCACCUCGCAGAGGCCCCACCCGCCGCGCCUCAGCAUCGAGGCCGCCUCCUCAAGGCUGGGCCGCAGCCACUCCGGCGCCGCGCUGGACGCGGCGGCGCUUGUGGCCCCCGUUGGGACUUCCAGGAACCGGUCCCCGGCCGCGGCGGCGUCCGUCCAGAACUCGAUCCAGCGCGGGGCCCUGCCGGUGACGGAGUCCAGGCUCCGGCGCGCAGUGGACGGCGGCGCGCCGGACGGGGGCGGGACCGGCGCGGAGAGCUGGCGCCGGAGCGGCGCGCCGGGCGGCGGCUCGGCGGCGAAGGCGCGGAGGAGGAAGUCGGCGGCGUUGGCGCCCGCGAACGUGACGCCCGAGUCGGACACGUAGAACACCGGGUUGCCCGCGAGGCAGGGCGUCGCCGGCACGUAAUGCCGGCCGCACAGCGGGACGAGGGGCGGCGGCGCGGCCCGCCCCGCGCGCCGGCCCGGGGCGAGCGGCAGCGUCGCGGCGACGGCCGCGGGGACCUCCUGCGCGGCGAAGCGGAGGAGGCGCAGCCCCGCCGGGGUGCGGUAGUCCGGGAAUCCGUCCCCCGACGGCAGGCCCAGCGCGAGGAGCUCGCGGAGGUCGGGCGGCAGCUGGACGCCGCCGAGCGCGGCCUCCGCGAGGGCGAACUCGGUGGCGGAGAGGCCCGGGAGGACGGCCACUCCGGCCGCGGCGAGGUGAGCGAGAAGCGCCGUCGGGGAGGGCGCGGAGGCGGAGGGAGACGGAGGAGCCGGGCUGCUGGGUGCCGAGGCACGGGUGGAGAGACGGCGCAGGCCGGCGGCGUGGGAAGGAGGACGCGGGAGGCCGUGCGGGUGCGACGGCCGGCGGUCGACGUCGACCAUUGCGGGAUCGCGGCGAAGUCGGACUGUCGGA